rnacentral:rRNA from 1 species
GAUGAACGCUGGCGGCGUGCCUAAUACAUGCAAGUCGAGCGAACAGACGAGGAGCUUGCUCCUCUGACGUUAGCGGCGGACGGGUGAGUAACACGUGGAUAACCUACCUAUAAGACUGGGAUAACUUCGGGAAACCGGAGCUAAUACCGGAUAAUAUAUUGAACCGCAUGGUUCAAUAGUGAAAGACGGUUUUGCUGUCACUUAUAGAUGGAUCCGCGCCGCAUUAGCUAGUUGGUAAGGUAACGGCUUACCAAGGCAACGAUGCGUAGCCGACCUGAGAGGUUGAUCGGCCACACGGGAACUGAGACACGGUCCAAACCCCUACGGGAGGCAGCAGUAGGGAAUCUUCCGCAAUGGGCGAAAGCCUGACGGAGCAACGCCGCGGGAGUGAUGAAGGUCUUCGGAUCGUAAAACUCUGUUAUUAGGGAAGAACAAAUGUGUAAGUAACUAUGCACGUCUUGACGGUACCUAAUCAGAAAGCCACGGCUAACUACGU